UACGGGGGGGGCAAGCGUUGGUCGGAAUUACUGGGCGUAAAGGGCUCGUAGGCGGCCAACUAAGUCAGACGUGAAAUCCCUCGGCUUAACCGGGGAACUGCGUCUGAUACUGGAUGGCUAGAGGUUGGGAGAGGGAUGCGGAAUUCCAGGUGUAGCGGUGAAAUGCGUAGAUAUCUGGAGGAACACCGGUGGCGAAGGCGGCAUCCUGGACCAAUUCUGACGCUGAGGAGCGAAAGCCAGGGGAGCAAACGGG
rnacentral:rRNA from 1 species